GAAGCGGCAAAAGCUCAAAUUUGAAAUCUGGCGUCUUCGACGUCCGAGUUGUAAUUUGAAGAAGGCGACUUUGUAGCUGGUCCUUGUCUAUGUUCCUUGGAACAGGACGUCAUAGAGGGUGAGAAUCCCGUGUGGCGAGGAUCCCAGUUAUUUGUAAAGUGCUUUCGACGAGUCGAGUUGUUUGGGAAUGCAGCUCUAAGUGGGUGGUAAAUUCCAUCUAAAGCUAAAUAUUGGCGAGAGACCGAUAGCGAACAAGUACAGUGAUGGAAAGAUGAAAAGAACUUUGAAAAGAGAGUGAAAAAGUACGUGAAAUUGUUGAAAGGGAAGGGCAUUUGAUCAGACAUGGCGUUUGCUUCGGCUUUCGCUGGGCCAGCAUCAGUUUUAGCGGUUGGAUAAAUCCUCGGGAAUGUGGCUCUGCUUCGGUAGAGUGUUAUAGCCCGUGGGAAUACAGCCAGCUGGGACUGAGGAUUGCGACUUUUGUCAAGGAUGCUGGCGUAAUGGUUAAAUGCCGCC
rnacentral:rRNA from 1 species